AGCGAACGCUAGCGGGAGGCCUAACACAUGCAAGCCGAACGGUAACAGGUCUUCGGAUGCUGACGAGUGGCGAACGGGUGAGUAAUACAUCGGAACGUGCCCGAUCGUGGGGGAUAACGGAGCGAAAGCUUUGCUAAUACCGCAUACGACCUACGGAUGAAAGCAGGGGACCGCAAGGGCUUGCGCGGACGGAGCGGCCGAUGGCAGAUUAGGUAGGUGGUGGGAUAAAAGCUUACAAAGCCGACGAUCUGUAGCUGGUCUGAGAGGACGACCAGCGACACUGGGACUGAGAGACGGCCCAGACUCCUACGGGAGGCAGCAGUGGGGAAUUUUGGACAAUGGGCUAAAGCCUGAUCCAGCCAUGCCGCGUGCAGGAUGAAGUCCUUCGGGUUGUAAACGGCGAUGGUACGGAACGAAAAGACUCUUUCUAAUAAAGAAUGUCCAUGGCGGUACCGUAGGAAUAAGCACCGGCUAACUACGUGCCAGCAGCCGCCGUAAUAC
rnacentral:rRNA from 1 species